AUUCUGACUAUGAGAGCUAGCAUGUACUAGUGCAGCCUUCCCCAGCCUGGUGCCCUCCAGAUGUUUUUGACAAUAACUCCUUUCAGCAUCAGCUGUGCUGGCAGGGGCUGGUGAGAGUUGUAGUCAAAAACAUCUGGAGGGCACCAGGCUGGGGAAGGCUGCAUUAGUACUGCUGAUGGCUGGUUUCAUGAGUUGAUUA